rnacentral:lncRNA from 1 species
UUUUCAUAGAAGACAAUUAAUUAACAUACAUAUAUGCUUCCCUUUCUCUGAGAGGGCUUCAAACUGCAAGCUAGCUUAAUUAGGACUCAGUACACCAUUUGUUUAUCUGCAGUUGAAACUCCUUCACUGCAUUUUCUCAUCUUAAAACUAUUCUUAUGAUCAUAGGUAUAUAUAUACACACAAACAAUUCAGGAUGAGUACUAUUGUAUAGAAAAAGUUGUAACAGAAGCAACACAAAUGUGACUGAUAUGAAAAUUGUUGUUUUAAGGUAUUUGCAGGGAACAAUGGAUUCUAAGGUGGAAUUUAUUUGAAUUUAUCAAAAUUUCCAUUUACUAAUUGAUUUAAGCUCCUUAAUUCUUCAGGAGCUUAGUAUGGUUCACGAACAAAUUUUGCUGGUAUUGUUGUUAACCCCCAAAAUGUGAUUUAAUUUAAUACGAAUAGUUAAGAACAACAUGUAAAUAAGUUAAAGACAAAAUAAAUGAUCAAACCAAUCGUAAUAUGAUAACCAAGCCUAAUCUUAGGUUGAACAGUGGAAUUCGUCCUCGAUUGGACCUUCGGUACGAGCUCUGUCGCGUAUAAAGAAGAGAACGAAUGAAGAACACUUUGAGCAAUAGGUAGAAGACAAAAGUAAACUUUUUAUUGCUUUGAUUUGCGUGUCACAGUGUGUCAGGAUGAAAGAAACCUUCCCCUUUCAUUCCUAGUACAAGUCUAAAGAAGGUAAAAUUCUUUUUUUCCCUGUAAAUAUCGAUCUGCAGUUGAUACUAGGCGGUAUUUACGCCAUAAUAUCCGGUUGAGGGCGAAUAUUACGUCGCUCUACUCAUCAUGUAUAACCAUUCUCCACGUUUCCCGAGGUCCAGAGGCUAUACUUGUUCUAGGUCUGUUACUUCACCGUGCCCGAUCUUAGAUACAUCGUUCAUUCCUCCCGGAUUUCGAUACGAGUUAUUCUUAGGCCUCGACUAUAGUCAUGUCCAACCGUGCUUCCCUUUUGUUUCCUCAUAGGGGAACCGGGGAAAGCUCUGCCCUCGAUUUUACCUGUAUACAGAUAGUCCGCUCAUUUCUUAGAGAGUAGAUUUAUCGAAGUGAUGGGAAACGAUAAAUUAACUACGGUUCCUUCUUUCGUACGCUACAACCGAGUUGAUAGGUCAGUGAAACAUCACAUCAGUCACGUCGUUCUAACUUCGGACCCAUGUUAACCGCCGGUUGACCAUCCCCGAAUGUGAAAUGUCACGCAUUGAUUACCCCUUCUCUAUAAAAGCUUUGAUCCUUUUUCCCACUUUUUUACUUUCCAAUUCUAGAGCUCCUUAAUUUACCCUCGAACUCUUCACUUAUUCCUAACCCCUUCAAACCUUCACACAUUGUUUUCUAGAUCUUCAUAUUCUCAUCUUCAAAUCUUCAUACUCCUUCUUCAAAUCUUCAAGUCUGGCCUUCAUAUCUUCAUCCUUAUCUUCAAAACCUUAUCCUUACCUUCAAACCUUCAUCCUCACAUUCAAUUCUUCAUAUUUUUCAGAGCCAGAUGGCAAAAACUUCCAAAUCCGUGCCUCAAUAGACCGUCCCUUCAACUUCCAACCCGGCCACGGGUGGCGAGGUGGCCGUUCCUAAGGCGACCCCGGUGUCACACCUCCUUUUUACCUACACCCCGAAAGGGUAUAAAGGAGUUUUUUCAAUUAAAGGACAAUCAAAAUGGGAUUAUUUCAUUUAAAGAUUCAAAGUCGCCACUUGGGAUAAUUUUAUGGUGUCCCAAGUCACCGGAUCAAAUCCUGAAUCGAGGAAAGGAUUGACUCUGUGUUAUAGUCCGCGAACACAGAAAUCCGGGUAAGGAAUUCUGUUAAUCCAGGAGAAGGUGUUAGGCAUUCCCGAGUUUCGUGGUUCUAGCACGGUCGCUCAACUGUUAUAAUUGGCCUAUUACCUGAUUUUAAUACAUGUUUUAGCCUAUUGUGAAAUUUUGACUUUAAACUGCUUUAAACCAUUUUUAAAGAAAGAUUUGCAGCGUCAUUUAAAAUAUGUCUUGAGCCACGUCACAUAAAUGCACACGUAGUCCGCAACACAUUCUAUAUGACAUUGUCGAGGUUUGGAUUUGGGUCACAUAAAUGCGAACCCGGGUUUAGGAAGGUAAGUAAUUAAAAUAACGCGCCUAAAGCAACUACUCGUUUUUUUAAAUUUGCGAGAGCCAUGGAAAUUCAACUAAAUGACACGCCUCGAAUUCUAAGGAUUCAAGCAUUAAUUAAGCGAGGGCCAUGCAUUUUUGAGGUUUUAUUUGGUACGACGCACCUCAAUACAAUUUAAAGAAAAUUCGAAACUAAACUUUGAGGGCCAUAAAUUGUACAUUUGGCUUAAUACGGCACACCCCCAAACUAAGCUAAUCCACACUAGGUAGUUUCAGAGUAUUGAUUUUGAUCUAGUCUCGCCUAAUAUAACUCCCACACACAUGAAUUCCAAAAGCAAAUACCUGACUAACUUUAUAUUACUCUUUUAUUCCUCAACAUUCCCAUUUUUCAUAAUGUUUUCCAAAUAAGACCACAAUUCCAUGGAAUCAAAAUGAUAGAUGUACGCCUACUCCAAUUAAAAGAAGUGAACUACCACGCUGGAAAAUUCAACAAUAGGUUACUGUUAAUAGUAUAUAAAGAUAACUUCACAUACAAAAAGCGCUUCUAAUGAAAAAUUAACCCGAGCAUGAUGAUGAGAAAGAUCACUGAUCAACAAGGUUUACUUAAGUCAAUUUGUCUGCUGAUCAGCGAAUCUGUUGGGGUGAGGAACAUACGGGAGUGUGAGGGUAAACAGCUCAAAACUGUUCAGCAAAUGGCUGAAGAAAACUUAUCUUGCACAACUAACAGUCAAAGCUUAAACCUCAAUUAGAUAUUAAACUAUCCAGCAUCCGAACCAAUGAGAGCCAAGAGUGCAGAAUUUGCACCAGAAGACUGCGAAUCUGCUGCUUAAAUAGUGCAGAACAUUGCAGAUUUUCAGCAGGGGCAACAGUUUGGACAAAUGUCCAAAAUGUUGCACUUUAUCGACUCGAAUUACUGCUUAAAUCGACUUCCUCGGUAGCUCGAAAGAGCAGAAUUCUUAUAGCAGGAACUAAGCAGACAAAUUUUCGAACAAGAGCAAAAAAAAAAAAGCAAAUCUGAACAUAUACAAUCCGCAAAACAAUUUAUCUUCAACACCACUUUAGACCAUGAUCCACUAAGAAUGAAUCGUCGAGCAGCAUACCAAAUUCACAAAUUCUUGUAGGCAAUAGAGAAUCCUACUGCUCGUACCAUUUAACAUGAAGAAACCAAGAAAAACUAACACGAGUCUAACUCAAUACAACACGAACCAAUGCAGCUUUGCGCCGGGUUUUUAAAUCAAACAUAACAUGAUACUACAUGGAUCACUAAGACUCAACCCAGACCCUAUUACAAUCUUAAGAACGUAAGAAGAAUUACCAAGACUUAGUUUUAGGAUUCAAGUAACGUAUUUCAAGUACAACCUCAAGAAAACAAGCAAAAUGCUCAACGUAACUGCUUCAUGAGUACAUCAGAUGCAUAAUUUUUACAGCAUGAAGAUCAGAAUGCACUUCGACAUGAAACAAAGAUGCAAUUUGAUGCAAAGUAAGAUCAUGUUCUUUUUUGAAGAAAGUAAGAUCAUGUUCUUUUUUUAAGAAAGUAAGAUCAUGUUCCCAACCAACGGUCAUGGUCGGAAUCAAAUCUCAACACGAAGAUGCUACCAAUUCAAAUAUUUAACUCAAAUUUCUCAGGUAAUAACACUCAAUGAAUUAGGACUAAAGUAGAAAUGAGAAACUAUUUUUCCAAUUCCCAGAGCUUCAAGGUUGAGCUCAGCUCACACAACUGGACCUCAACCUUUAGUUUUAAGUCCAAACAAUGUCAAUAAACAGACGCGAACCAAGUUCUCAACCACAGCACAUCAAAGAAAAUCGACAUACCUCAACAGACUUUACACGAAAAAAACUCUCAGCUAUUCAUAAAUCAAUAAGAAACUAAACUCGAAUUCACUGAUUCAACCCUACAAAACUUAAAUGACAACAACAAAGAGAUGCAAACUCAGAAAUUCCAUAGCUCAUGAACAGUUAAAAAACAGAGUUACAUGGGAGGAAGAAAACCAAACCUGAAGUUGCAAACUUCUUUUAAUAAUUAAAACCUUAAUAAUACACCUUUUGCCUCCGAAUACUAGCGAAGUUCAGCAACAAAUCAGUAGGACAACAGUAGAAAUGGAAUCGACGAACUUGAACCUCACGAACAUUCAAUAGACCUCAGUUCACUUCCCUUAAUUCAAAGAUGAAAUUCAGAAAGAAAACGAACUCAACCUUCGAGUUCAAACCAAACUCAUUAGUGAAAAAUGAAAGUUUCUGAUCUUCCAAACGCAGAGAUCAAAGAGGCUCAGAUUAAACACAAAAACGAAAAUCAGUUUUUUUUUUGUAUUUUUCUAUUGUAACUGGAAUUAAACUGAGAUGGUUUUUAAAAAUCAGAAAGAAAAAGAAGCUUUCUCAAAGCCCUAUGUCCCAAGUGACCUCCCUUCCCAAACGAAAUCCCCUAGAAUCAAUACCCCAAAAUCCUCCUUCUCCAAAUUGGAUGAGGUCCCUUUUGAAAAUGAACCCCUGGUGAAUGUGGGGCUCAGAUUGAAUGAAAUCAAUCCAACACCUCACCCUUAUCCAACGAAUCGUUCUCAGAACCUUCCAAUCACGUGUUACAUCUCAGCAACGGGCGAGUGAGAGGAGGGAGAAUCUUUGGUGUCAGAAACCAUUAGAAAUGGCAAGAGGAGAGAAGGAGGAAUGCGUGGUUGUGGGUUUGGAUUCACUCGCCAUGGAUUUGACGAGUUGAAACGCGGCUUUGCGAAGAAGACGAUGAACAGUGAGUGUGGAGUUAGGGAUUCCGAUAUGUUGGGUCUUGUGUAUUAGUGUAUGUAUUUGUGGAGCGGGUCGGGUUUAGAGAACGGGCACGAGUCUGGGCGUAAUCGGGCCGGGUAGGCUGAUGAUGU